GAAAUCAGAAAUGUUGAUCUGGUUAUGGUUUAUAUGACAGUAACACUAAUUUAAGAUGAUUUAUCUACAUAAAAAGAAUUCACUAGAUCAUGGAAAUUCAAACUAUCAUUAGACAUAUUUUAAUAAUAUUCAAUAAGAUUCAAGCAGUAGUUACUACAUGAUUAUCAAGAUUUUAUUAUCAAGCCCUCUAAAUGUUAACUUAAUUGACAGUAAUUGGAUUGAAAUCAACAGUAAAAAAAACAAUAAUGUUGACAGUUAUGCGCCAGACCCUUUUGGAGCACAACCUUAGUGCUCUGCAGGGAUGGAGACGGUUAUCUCCAUUUGCUGGUGAAGGAGAACCAAAAAAGGCAAGACUGGCAGAUUUUUCAGUGUCACAUACUGAGUAAGAGCUAAUGGGGAGAUUCUGAUGACACUGCCCAUGUUCUUUCCAAAUCAUUCAUUAAAAAAAAAAAAAAAGAAAAGAAAUAGAAACAAACCUGCUCUGAAACAUGUUUUAAGUUAAAAAAAGGAAAAUUUUUAAAAUAAGAGAAUGGAACCUGGCAAAGAGAACACAAAUGUAUUUGUUUAUGUUAUUAUUAGAUUAGUGAAUAAUAUCAUACUUUAAAUGACAUGUCAGUUAGAAAAAUCACAACAAUAUUAAACUGUGUAAAACUCUUAGCUAGAAACUAAUUUUAACUGAAAGAAAUAGCUUUAGCUUAUUUGUGUCGAUAUAUGUUUCAACAGAGUUUGAGGGAAGACAUUGAUGUGGUACAAAUACGAUUCUGAAUUCUGUCAGGAGCCUCUUAAUGGGAUUUCUGAAAGAGUGACUAUGUGUUAGCUACCUAAUAACACUGAAAAAAAUAAUUUUAUAGAUAUAUAUUUGUAAAAAAAAGUGAUUAUUGUUGUGUAAGUAAUUACAAAAAUCUCAAAAUAAAUAUGGUUAAAGCCAGAUAUAUAAAAUUAGUAACUCUAAAUUGAGGUAUAGUAAAUAAUGGGUAAUUAGCACUUCCUAAAGGUUUUUCAUAAGUUACCUGAUUAAAUUAUUAUAAUAAUCUUAUGAGAUAAGUAAUAUUUUAUUUCAAUUUUAGAAAUGAAGGAACUGAGGCAGUAAAAUAAACAGAACCUUGCCUUGGGCCUCCCAAAUCCUCCCAGUCCCACCUUUUCCUCGUGAGCCUCAGAUUCCUGUGCAGAGCUGCCUCACCAAUAUGUUGUGCCAUUUCCUAUUCCUGGAAAAGCCCUGGAGACUGCAAGGGUGGUGUCUCACUAUGUUGCCCAGACUGUUUUCUAACCCUGGCCUCAAGCAAAUUUCCCACCUCCUUCUCCCAAAAUGCUGGGAUUACAAGUGUGAGCCACUGUACCCAGCCUACUUAGGAGGACAUUUACUAUUCACUUACUGAUUUGCAUCAAAUUAUUGAUUGGUGGUGUUUCAGAAGGUGGAAGCUCUGCCAGCCCCACAUACAGCCUGAGUGAGACAUGCCAUUCAUUUGUUAAGCAGCUGAGGGUUUGUAACUGCUUGUGACUGCGGCAUGUCCAAGAAUGUUUUGUCUGAUGCACGACAAUGAGUGAAUAUAUAAUGAUUCAACAAGAGCCAUAGAGUUUUAAAAUGUGUUACAUUUUAUAGGAAAUACAGUUACUUAGACUUAUAAAAACAAGAUAUUCUCAGAAUAUUUUUCAUACUGAUUUACCUCUACUUGUCUUACUGGUGUCUAUGAGCUCAACUCAAGAUUUCCAAUCAAAUAACAACGAUAUGGAUUCACCUGGUGGCCAAGCAACAAUGUAAGAUAUUUAGAGUAGAGUCCUCAGAACAUUUUGCUGUGUUUGAAGAUGCUCAGGGUAAGUUAUAGUAUUCUGAGUUUUGUAUUUCACUACAACAAAUGCUUGUCUUUAUUUUCUUUCUUUUUUUUCAAGACGAGGACAGAAGAGAUUGAGAAUCAUGGUUAAAAGAGAAAAAACAAAACUCACUUGGGCCGUCUUUAAAUGUAUACAGAUAGGUGUUUGGUAGGCCCUAGCAUGCUUAAACUUAGGUUUCAGUAUGCAUGGGCCUUCCAGGAAACUGGCUGGGAAGACACACAAGAAAUUUAUAUCCUGUAAGGGACUGAGGCCAGAGAGAGAGGGGCUCAGCACAGCUGGUAUCAGAGCCAUGCUAUAACACUGGGUGCUGCCAAAGAAAGACACUAUGGAACAUGAUGCAAAUGCUGUUUCAUGAAGGCACACAACACCAUCUACAUGCAGGUACUAAAGCAAUGGAAACAGCACAGCACCCUCCUUCUCAGGAACCACUGCACUGAUCACUCCUUGUGCAUGACUAAGCAGCCUCACUCAGCAGGGCUUGGCAGGGGAGUCUGCCAGAUGUCGUAAAGCUCAGAAACAGAAAAAUGAUGAGAGAGGAUGGGAUGCCCAGGAACAUAGUCACUGCCCCUUGGGAGCAGGAGCACCUCGUGGAAGUGGCAGCUCUGCCCCGAGAAGUGGGCAAGUUGGAGCCUGAGUCUAGCAGGGUUUUGGGCCUUUUGCAGAGGUCUGGCCUCUACAUGCGGGUGUUGCUGAAAAGUUAGAGGAACUUUUCUGGAGUCGUGAGUGCAUGUUGGGGCAAAACUCAGUAGAAUUUGAGUGAUUAUUUCAAACACAAAUACAAUUCUACCCACAAAUAGGUGAAGCCAAGAGAAACUGGCCAUUUAUGGGUCUAUGCAACUACAUUUAACUUAUACACACAUAUAGAAUUAGUAUUGAUGUUAAGGGUAGAAAUGCUGACAGAGCGGUGACCAUGUGUAAAUUAGGAAAUAAGAAAUAUUAAGGCAUUGUUGUUUCAGAAAGUUCAAACUAUCCAUAUAAAUGAGUAAAAUCUGAUUAUCAGUUAACUAGCUGCUAUGCAAGAUGCAUAUAUUAUCAUAAAAGCAAAAUAAUAUUUCAAUGAUUUAUAAAAAUAAGAGAAACUAACACAUCUGGAUAAAGAAUCCAAUUAUGCCUAUCUAAAGCAACUAUCCCCAACAGAUCAAACUGUUUUGCAAUCUUAUCUCUCAUGACUAUGAUUGUAAUUUAUAUUAAAACAACUAUUGAGGCCAAAAAUAACUCAGAGCUAAAUUGUUCAAAUAGCUAUGUUAAAAGGCAUCUCACUUUUGUCAUUUCAGUACAAAUGGGAUUCUCAUUGGGAACAUAGAAAGUUAGUUUGCUAGGAUGACUAUUGAAACCUUAAGGUGAAAAAGCUUGCUCUUACUGAGAAAAUCCCAUCAUGAGUUGUGGGAUUCAAUUCAAACGAGACACAAAGGAUAAAGAAACACUAAGAAAAUAUGCAUAAAAAAGACAUAUAUUAAAAUGAAAAUCUGUUGAGUCAUAACUGUAACACAUCUUUAGAGGUGGCAGCUUUACAAUCAAAUAAAUAAUAUUUUGACACUUUCCAUAACAUUAUGUUUAAUCUCCUUUCAAUUACAUCCAUCUGACCGUCUUUCCAGGUACUUUGAAUCACAAUUCACGUGUCAGAACUUUAUUUUGUUCUAAAGAAUGAAUUUCAAGAAAAAAAAUCCUUAUGUUUCAUUCGUAUAUCAUGAAAUGGGCAUUCAACACUUUUCUUGAUUUGUAUGGUUAGCUGAAAUGGAUAAAUCAGACACAUAUGAUACUGGUCCAAUUAAAGUGAAUGUGCACAAACUACCUUUUAAAGUUUUGGGUAGUCAUUAUAAAUUGAUCUGGAUGUUAAAAUUCACUCAAAAAUUUCAAAGAAUUUCUUGUGAAUCAAAAAUAUCUUGAAAGUCAAAAGAUUAGGAGAAAUACAUUUACUGUGAUUUAAAAGAACACUCGAUCCAUUUUUAAAAUAUUUAGUAAUAUAUAAUUUAUUAUUUCACUCAUCUGUCUCAGUAUAAGGAAUUUGGUGACAUUUCUAUUUAUGCUUUUAGAGGAAACAUCUGAUUCUAAGGUUCAAAGCGUGAGACUGUAAGGCUUUUACAAACACAGAAAUUAAUGAGGAAGGUCACCAUGCAGUCUAUAACUAUCACAGACAUUUUUUAAUGCAACAAUUUACUGGAUUAGCUAUCAGAAAGUCAAGGAGGUGAUUCACUACCAUACAUGAAAAUAAAGUAUAAAAUACUGGUUUUGACAGUGCAACUACACUUUUAUAGCUGUUUUGUCAGUUUCUCACAAAUUUCCUCAAAUGGACAUAUCAUUACUUGAAUAGUAAUCAGCAAUUUAUUUUCAGGGGUUUUUUUGCAAUAAAAAGAAAUGCCUUCACUCAUAAAACAUAAUGAAGAGAAAGGCACUUUAUUUAAGAAUAGAGGAAUGCAUUAUGCCUCUUGAAUAUAUAGUACAUUAUUUAUAAUCUACUGCUGCAGUUACUGUUGUAUAUCCU
rnacentral:lncRNA from 1 species